rnacentral:misc_RNA from 1 species
AACGCACAUUGCGCCCCUUGGUAUUCCAUGGGGCAUGCCUGUUCGAGCGUCAUUUACACCCCUCAAGCUCUGCUUGGUGUUGGGCGUCUGUCCCCUUUUUUUCAGUGGACUCGCCCCAAAGGCAUUGGCAGCGGUCCUGUCGGGCCUCCUAAUCGCGCAGCACUGUUCGCGCUUCCUGGAGCCUGUAGCGGAUUCAGCAUCCAUCAAGCCCAAUCUUUCUUAACUUGACCUCGAAUCAGGUAGGGAUACCCGCUGAACUUAA